UAGUGGUAAGACGUCUGCCUCGUAAGCAAGCGGUCCUGAGUUCGAACCUCGGUGCAGGCG
rnacentral:tRNA from 1 species